GAUGAACGCUGGCGGCGUGCCUAAUACAUGCAAGUCGAGCGAACAGAUGAGGAGCUUGCUCCUCUGACGUUAGCGGCGGACGGGUGAGUAACACGUGGAUAACCUACCUAUAAGACUGGGAUAACUUCGGGAAACCGGAGCUAAUACCGGAUAAUAUAUUGAACCGCAUGGUUCAAUAGUGAAAGACGGUUUUGCUGUCACUUAUAGAUGGAUCCGCGCCGCAUUAGCUAGUUGGUAAGGUAACGGCUUACCAAGGCAACGAUGCGUAGCCGACCUGAGAGGGGGAUCGGCCACCCUGGAACUGAGACACGGUCCAGACUCCUACGGGAGGCAGCAGUAGGGAAUCUUCGUCAAUGGGCGAAAGCCUGACGGAGCAACGGCGCGUGAGUGAUGAAGGUCUUCGGAUCGUAAAACUCUGUUAUUAGGGAAGAACAAAUGUGUAAGUAACUAUGCACGUCUUGACGGUACCUAAUCAGAAAGCCACGGCUAACUACGUG
rnacentral:rRNA from 1 species